UGCAAGUGAAGACUUUACACCAAAUCUUCUCAAGGCAGGUGUUAAGGGGCUGAAGUUAUCUGUCGCCCUGCCUAUCCUCUUGAACGUUAUCUUGUCUUUUAUGAGAAAGUAUAAUUGAUAUUCCUCUUUGGUGUUAACCCUCAGCGUUGGUAACACGUUCCAUGACAUCACACACCUUCUUUUUGUCGUUACUUUCCUCGCCUUUUAUGUAGAAUUAUGCUAUGGUGACCACCUCUGCCAACGAGAGCGAUGACUUCUGAGCGAGAGAUUCAUUGAAGUGUCCCAUCUUGAGUCCAUUUUGAAACGCUCCUAUAAACAUUCCUU
rnacentral:lncRNA from 1 species